AAUACACCAUUAUCUUGGGUAGGUAUAUAAGCCUUUGCAGACUACAAUACACCACUAACAGAACCUGUGAAGAAAGAUGAAGUCGUUACUUUUUGUCGCUGUAUGUUUGACUUUGGCGCUGGUGACAUCAGCUGCAGAUAGUCUGAACGAUGAAUUGCUUCGAACCUUAGCCAAACUUGAUUCCAGUUCCGACCAAUCACACAACAGAAACCCGUAUGAAAAAAGGGUGGUUUCCGGGGACAAUUCUCAAGUCGGUGGUGAAACUGGAGGUAGUGUGGAGUCUGGAAACAACUCAAAUCCACCGGAAGAAUAUUAUAUGGGCUUUCCGGAAUUCAAAUCAAGAGUACACGGAUGGGCACAGAAAUCUAAGGCUUUUGUUCAGGCUUUUGAUGCGAUGAAACCGGAUGCAUUACUGAUCAUGACAGGAAAAAAGGAAUGGGAAGAUAUAGAGGGCAACACCGCAGCCGUAAUAGGCCAGGGAUUUCAUACGUAUGGAGAAAUUGCCAAAGAAGUAUUUGAUACAUGGGGGCGACUUUUCGUUCAAGCCAAAGGGUUUAAGGAGACUGGCAGAUGCAGACAGGUGGAUAGACUAGCAUCCGAUAUAGAUGUAGAAAGAGACGAUAUGGCUGGCAUUAAAUCUUUUGAAGCCUUAGUGUCUGAUAUGGACUGUUUCGCGGGAGAAUUUAGGGACACUUUCAGUGUUUUGGAAGAUGCCUGCAUAAAAGAAGAUACAUUUAGUCCAGAUCACGCCAUGGACAUAUUGACCAAUGUUAUGAAAACUCUGUUCAGGUUGAAAAGAGAUGGUGAACGAUUCGCCCCAGCUGCUGCCCACAUUAAGGCUGAAUUGGAGAAUGAAAAAGCCAAAAAGACGCCCACUUUAACGGACGAUGCGGAUCUUCUUAAGCGGAUUCUUAGAAAACUACAAGAUUAGAAUCACCAAAAGAAGCCAUUAUUAUCUCUCAGAUAAAAUUUCAACAACAAACAACCAUGGAAAUUACCUUUAAAUUUAUAUAGUUUUGUUUAUACUGUUUCCCCUUUGUAACACCUAAUGCUGUUUUGGCGCACUUUAAUGUUUGUUAAAUAAACAUUUUAAAUCUC